GAAAGGGCCACGUUUGUUUUAAUUAAAAACAAAACCACCGAGUGGGCUGCUAGGCUGGGGCUGGGAGGCCAGGCCGGGGCGAAGAUCUGUGGGAUCCUUCGUGUUCUCACGUUUGGUUUCAGAGGGCUCCUUCUUCUAGACCUAACGCUGCCUGGUGUCUCCAGCAGAUCCAGAUGUCCAGCCGCCUGCCACCAGGAUGUCUGCCUUCGCCUCCUCCCCUGACGUGCUGGUCCCCCUUUCUACCAGGCUUUCUCCCACGGUCAGCCGGCAGCUCCGGGGCGCCACCUGCUGUCUGAAACUGCAGGCCUUGGCCUGAGCUGUCCCAUUCAUAGAAAACAAGUGAUGCCUUCUACAACGUGGCCCAAGGCUUCCAGCCCGGUGAAGGAGCCACAGUUCCUCAGCAAGAGGGAUCCUGUCCGCUCUCUAUGACAAAAUCACUUCAAAAUAAAUUGCGCGUGUGUGUACGAUGUAUAUUUGUAUUCACAGAGAGAACCAGCUCCC